rnacentral:rRNA from 1 species
ACGACGCUGGCGGCGUGCCUAACACAUGCAAGUCAACUUGACUGAAGGAGCAAUCUGACAGUAGAGUGGCGCAAGGGUGCGUAACGCGUAAGUAACUUGCCCCAAGGUAAGGAAUAACGUCGAGAAAUCGGCGCUAAUACCUCAUAAUGCAGCGGAUCCGCAUGGAUAUGUUGUUAAAGGUUUACCGCCUUGGGAUAGGCUUGCGUCUGAUUAGCUAGUUGGUGUGGUAACGGCACACCAAGGCUACGAUCAGUAACUGGUCUGAGAGGAUGAUCAGUCACACUGGAACUGAGACACGGUCCAGACUCCUACGGGAGGCAGCAGCGAGGAAUAUUGGGCAAUGCUCGAAAGAGUGACCCAGCAACGCCGCGUGGAGGAUGAAGGUAUUCUAUAUCGUAAACUCCUGUGAGAGCAGACGAAAGACAGAUUAUUAAUCUGGAUGACUGUAUGCUCAGAGGAAGCCCCGGCUAACUACGUG